rnacentral:rRNA from 1 species
UCAUAGUUUGUUGAGGCAAACCGGGAGAACUGAAACAUCUAAGUACCCCGAGGAAAAGAAAUCAACCGAGAUUUCGUCAGUAGCGGCGAGCGAAAGCGAAAGAGCCAGUAAGUGAUAGCAGUAUAGUGAGGAGAAUGUGUUGGGAAGCACAAUCAAAGAGGGUGAUAAUCCCGUAUCUAAAAACCAUAUUGUGGUACUAAGCUAACGAGAAGUAGGGCGGGACACGUGAUAUCCUGUUUGAAGAAGGGGGGCCCAUCCUCCAAGGCUAAAUACUCCUGAUUGACCGAUAGUGAACCAGUACUGUGAAGGAAAGGCGAAAAGAACCCCGGUGAGGGGAGUGAAAUAGAACCUGAAACCUUGUACGUACAAGCAGUGGGAGCCCCAUCACUUAAUCCGAUUGGAAGGUGAUGAAAAGCAACCGCACUUAAACAAUGGUAAGAGGAGCGAAGCGAGUCAAACCACCCAAAAGAAGCAGUGGGAUUAAGUGAUGGGGUGACUGCGUACCUUUUGUAUAAUGGGUCAGCGACUUAUAUUUUGUAGCGAGGUUAACCGAAUAGGGGAGCCGAAGGGAAACCGAGUCUUAACUGGGCGAAGAGUUGCAAGGUAUAGACCCGAAA